UUCAUCAGCUUCUUCUUCUCUCUCAAUUCCCUCUCUCACAGUUACAACAUCACCACCAUGGAUCACCUCUCCAACCCAUUCCUGCUAUUGUUUUCAAUCACCACAACCCCCUCCCUCGUCCUUUUUGGUCUUCCCUGUUGAAAUAAGCAAGAAAGAAACAUCAGAAGGCCACCGGAGUAGCCUCCUGCCACCACCGUUUCACCCUCCUGCCGGCAAUCACCCACCACCCAUUGCAACCUUCAAACACCCACUUCCACCACCGAAGAACUUCAUCCCUAAGCUGUCAUUGCUAUUAAUUUCGAUCCCCAAAAGCUUCUCCACAAUUCCUGCAUCGAAAUACUGGUAAAAGAAAGAAGAACGAAGGCAACAGCACCGAACUACCACCUCCGUCAGCCCCCCCGCCGGCCGCCUGUUGCAGCGACAACAACUGUCACCACUUCUGGCCUCCAUUUUCGCCACUGGAAAUCGGAUUUAUCCCGGAAAUCACGACCUCUCGGCAACACAUCUCGACUUUCAGAACUACUCGUUAACCACUCGAUAAGGAAAUCAGUGAAAUUUCGGGGACACUCAGACGAUGGAAAACAUGGCUCGCAAGUACUUUAAUUUUCUACUUUUGAACUGUUAUGCCUAACUGUUAAGGCAAACUCAUAUUAUUAUUAUAUUACUAUCUGUAAG